CUAUAUACCGCCGUCGUCAGCUUACCCUGUGAAGGAACUAUAGUAAGCAAAACUAGUAAAACCCAAAACGCCAGGUCGAGGUGUAGCAUAUGAGAGGGGAAGAAAUGGGCUACAUU
rnacentral:rRNA from 1 species